GAUGAACGCCGGCGGCGUGCCUAAUACAUGCAAGUCGAGCGAACGGACGAGAAGCUUGCUUCUCUGAUGUUAGCGGCGGACGGGUGAGUAACACGUGGAUAACCUACCUAUAAGACUGGGAUAACUUCGGGAAACCGGAGCUAAUACCGGAUAAUAUUUUGAACCGCAUGGUUCAAAAGUGAAAGACGGUCUUGCUGUCACUUAUAGAUGGAUCCGCGCUGCAUUAGCUAGUUGGUAAGGUAACGGCUUACCAAGGCAACGAUGCAUAGCCGACCUGAGAGGGUGAUCGGCCACACUGGAACUGAGACACGGUCCAGACUCCUACGGGAGGCAGCAGUAGGGAAUCUUCCGCAAUGGGCGAAAGCCUGACGGAGCAACGCCGCGUGAGUGAUGAAGGUCUUCGGAUCGUAAAACUCUGUUAUUAGGGAAGAACAUAUGUGUAAGUAACUGUGCACAUCUUGACGGUACCUAAUCAGAAAGCCACGGCUAACUACGUGCCAGCAGCCGCGGUAAUACGUAGGUGGCAAGCGUUAUCCGGAAUUAUUGGGCGUAAAGCGCGCGUAGGCGGUUUUUUAAGUCUGAUGUGAAAGCCCACGGCUCAACCGUGGAGGGUCAUUGGAAACUGGAAAACUUGAGUGCAGAAGAGGAAAGUGGAAUUCCAUGUGUAGCGGUGAAAUGCGCAGAGAUAUGGAGGAACACCAGUGGCGAAGGCGACUUUCUGGUCUGUAACUGACGCUGAUGUGCGAAAGCGUGGGGAUCAAACAGGAUUAGAUACCCUGGUAGUCCACGCCGUAAACGAUGAGUGCUAAGUGUUAGGGGGUUUCCGCCCCUUAGUGCUGCAGCUAACGCAUUAAGCACUCCGCCUGGGGAGUACGACCGCAAGGUUGAAACUCAAAGGAAUUGACGGGGACCCGCACAAGCGGUGGAGCAUGUGGUUUAAUUCGAGGCAACGCGAAGAACCUUACCAAAUCUUGACAUCCUUUGACAACUCUAGAGAUAGAGCCUUCCCCUUCGGGGGACAAAGUGACAGGUGGUGCAUGGUUGUCGUCAGCUCGUGUCGUGAGAUGUUGGGUUAAGUCCCGCAACGAGCGCAACCCUUAAGCUUAGUUGCCAUCAUUAAGUUGGGCACUCUAAGUUGACUGCCGGUGACAAACCGGAGGAAGGUGGGGAUGACGCCAAAUCAUCAUGCCCCUUAUGAUUUGGGCUACACACGUGCUACAAUGGACAAUACAAAGGGCAGCGAAACCGCGAGGUCAAGCAAAUCCCAUAAAGUUGUUCUCAGUUCGGAUUGUAGUCUGCAACUCGACUACAUGAAGCUGGAAUCGCUAGUAAUCGUAGAUCAGCAUGCUACGGUGAAUACGUUCCCGGGUCU
rnacentral:rRNA from 1 species